rnacentral:rRNA from 1 species
UGCCAGCCGCCGCGGUAAUACGGAGGGAUCAAACGUUAAUCGGAAUUACUGGGCGUAAAGCGCGUGUAGGCGGUUCGUUAAGUCUGAUGUGAAAGCCCGGGGCUCAACCCCGGAAGUGCAUUGGAAACUGGCGAACUUGAGUACGGGAGAGGAAAGUGGAAUUCCGAGUGUAGGGGUGAAAUCCGUAGAUAUUCGGAGGAACACCAGUGGCGAAGGCGGCUACCUGGUCCGGAUCUGACGCUGAGGCGCGAAAGCGUGGGGAGCAAACAGGAUUAGAUA